rnacentral:lncRNA from 1 species
GCCAACACCACCAAAUACAGCUAAAUUAUGAGUCACCCUAAGGCUUCUGUCCUGAAUAUUUAGCAGAUUCACGACAAACAUCAUGUUAAUAUAGGGUAAUCAGCAAUAUUAAAUAUGAAACCUAAUGAAUGAUCUUAUGAGGCCUUAAUACCUGCAACCAAGCUCGAACAGUGCUCUGCAUAACAUCUUGAAUGAUGUUGGAGAAGCUCAAAAACAAUCUCGUCUCUUGCAUGAAGUGACCACUUCACUCUGAUAACCUGUAAGGAAAUGCAAAAGUUGAAAGGAGCUUCUAUGUGCAGUGGACUUGAUCAGCAUGAAUUGUUCUUAAACCAUAAAAAAAUAUCAGCCUAUGGCAGAUAAUAUGGAUCCCUUAGCCACUGCUUGUGUUUUCAAAAGCCAGCAAUAAAAAUUACGAUAACUAUAAGGUAUCA